CUUUCCGUAGGCUGCGUUGGGGAUUCCUACGGGAGGCAGCAGAGGGGAAUCUUGCACAACCGCGAAACCAUGAUCCAGCAACGCCGCGUGAGCGAUGAAGCCCUUAGGGAGUAAACUCUUUCACCCGGAGGAAAGACGGUACUUCAGAAUAGCCAGCUAUUUCG
rnacentral:rRNA from 1 species